rnacentral:rRNA from 1 species
AUGCCACCGGAUAGAGACAUUGAGUUUUUGAUUGAGCUUUUGCCAGGCACUGGGCCAAUAUCGAAGAGACCAUAUAGGAUGCCAGCAAAAGAUUUGGUUGAAAUUAAGAAGCAGAUUAAGGAGUUACUGGAUAAGGGAUAUAUUCGCCCAAGUUCUUCGCCUUGGGGAUCACCAGUACUUCUAGUGGAGAAGAAGGAUGGAUCGUUAAGAAUGGUUGUUAAUUAUCGAGGAUUGAACGAAGUAACAAUCAAAAACAAGUACCCGCUACCAAUGAUCAAUGAUCUGUUUGAUCGAUUGCAAGGAGCUAAAGUGUUUUCCAAGAUCGAUUUGCGAUCAAGAUACCACCAGUUGAAGAUUCGAGAACAGGAUAUUCCUAAGACAGCUUUUACCACCAGGUAUGGGUUGUAUGAGUAUACCGUUAUGUCAUUUGGACUGACUAACACGCCUGCCUAUUUUAUGAACAUGAUGAACAAAGUGUUUAUGGAGUUUUUGGAUAAGUUCGUCGUAGUGUUCAUUGAUGAUAUCCUGGUAUAUUCUAAGAAUGAAGAGGAGCAUAAGGAGCAUUUGCGUUUGGUACUUGGAAAGCUCAGAGAA